rnacentral:rRNA from 1 species
GACGAACGCUGGCGGCGUGCUUAACACAUGCAAGUCGAACGAAAAUACCAAGCUUGCUUGGUUGAUUAGUGGCGAACGGGUGAGUAACACGUGAGUAACCUGCCCCUUACUUUCCUGGAUAACUGCUCGAAAGGGUAGCUAAUACGGGAUAUUCUGACUAGCCAGCAUGGGUUGGUUUGGAAAGGUUGUUUUUCUGGUAAGGGAUGGGCUCGCGGCCUAUCAGCUUGUUGGUGGGGUGAUGGCCUACCAAGGCUUUGACGGGUAGCCGGCCUGAGAGGGUGGACGGUCACACUGGGACUGAGAUACGGCCCAGACUCCUACGGGAGGCAGCAGUGGGGAAUAUUGCACAAUGGGCGCAAGCCUGAUGCAGCGACGCCGCGUGAGGGAUGAAGGCCUUCGGGUUGUAAACCUCUUUCGUCAGGGAACAAGGCACUACGUUUUGGUGGUGUUGAGGGUACCUGGAUAAGAAGCGCCGGCUAACUACGUGCCAGCAGCCGCGGUAAUACGUAUGGCGCAUGCGUUGUCCGGAAUUAUUGGGCGUAAAGAGCUCGUAGGCGGCUGGUCGCGUCUGUCGUGAAAACUUCCGGCUCAACCGGGGGCUUGCGGUGGGUACGGGCCGGCUAGAGUGCGGUAGGGGUAACUGGAACUCCUGGUGUAGCGGUGGAAUGCGCAGAUAUCAGGAAGAACACCGAUCGCGAAGGCAGGUUACUGGGGCCGUUACUGACGCUUAGGAGCGAAAGCGUGGGGAGCGAACAGG